rnacentral:lncRNA from 1 species
UUCUAGUGUAGCAAGCUUCCGGAGAUUUCUCCAGUGGUCACCAUAAGGGGACUGGACCAUAGUUGUGUAAUUGUAGCCUAUGUGCUUUCCCAUAAUUAGGCGAGGGCGGUUUGCUAGAAUUAUGUCAUUUUUAGUGAAACAUUCUUCAGCAGUAGAGGGGGAUGACACAACAACUAGAAGGCGUGAUCCAAAAUGGAGUGAAAUAAUCGGCCCAUUCUUAGAGAGGUCAUGGAAGGUUCUAUGGAGCAAGGGCUUGCCUUUGAGGAGGUAGAGGUGGCCUAAUAAUGGAAAUUUUGGUUUCGGGCUUGGUGGUAAACGAUAUGUUUUUGAUUUAAAAUGAGAUUUUGCUGCAAGAAGAAUGAACAAAAGGGGGAGAGAUGCAUAUAAUAAAAGUUGCAAAUUCGCUUCCAUAAUAUAGCUUGGAGUAAGCUUGGAUACUUUUAGGUAUAGUAUGAGAUAUUGAUAUCUUCAUAUAUAAAUAUAUCAACAUAGAUGAAACUAGGCGUAAAACCGGUUAAACCAGGAACCUGUUAGAGAAUGGCCCUUUCCAGGAUCUUAUAUUCUAAGAUUCCCCCUCACUCGAGAGCCCAUCGAAGAGUGGAUCACGGGCGCUCAUCUUUGGAGCAUUAAUUUGCCAUUCGUGCCACUAUAAAUUGUGAGAAUAUUGGGGGUGGCAGGGAUCGAUCUUAUAUUCUAAGAUUCCCCCUCACUCGAGAGCCCAUCGAAGAGUGGAUCACGGGCGCUCAUCUUUGGAGCAUUAAUUUGCCAUUCGUGCCACUAUAAAUUGUGAGAAUAUUGGGGGUGGCAGGGAUCGAACCCGAGUCCUCCGCCAACCUCGCUCUGAUACCAUGUCAAGGAACCAGUUACUCUAAAACCUCAAGGUGUUAGAGAAUGGCCCUUCCAGGAUCUUAUAUUCUAACACAUGAUACUGUUACGAUAAGUGUAAAUAUUGUCAGGAGGCUUUGGUCACAGAGAUGUGUCUGAAACACCCUGUCGAAUUUGGUGAUGCGGGCAGUGACAAGUUAUGGUCUUUGUUUUUUCGUAAUGCUAUUCAAAUCUUAUCCCUUGUUGGUUGUAAAAUUAUUGGUGCUUCUCAGAGUUGUUGAUCAGAAGGCAAAAAAUUGUCAGCAAAAUUUCAAUUGCCUUGUGGUUCAGAUGCACCUGGCCAGGCUCUCAAAUUUCUUAGGGUCAAAUCAGGCACAUCAUACUACUACACAGGUACACAUUCAGGGUACAAAGAGUGAAAACUACAAGGAACUUAAUUCACAGUAAUAAUCUAAAUAGAUGGGCAAUUAUAAGAGUCUCUGAUUCUGUUGAAUAGCACGACAUGGAGAACUACAUACUACGCAGUGAAGAACUUAAUUUAUUUCCAGAUACAAGCAGGGAACUUUGUUACUGUAGGAGCCUACAAUAGAACCUGGAAAAUAAAUCAGGCUGUUUUUAUACUAUACUUGGUCACGUGCUUCCUGUUACUGGAUUAGAUUUUUGCAUGGUAAUUCAUUUAAAAUCAUUGCAAAUUAUAUUAGCCUGCCUUUGCUCUGACUCUUUUGGACAUCAAUUGAUCUGAUCUGAUUGUAAUAUGAUCAGUAUUAAUUAAUGGGAGAACGGAUGAAUGCAAGUGGUGGAGUCUUAUUUGCGGUGACUCUUUCCCUCGACUCGAAUUUAAUUCAGAUUUAGUAGUACAAAUUUAUACAUGUAAUUCGUGGCAUGCAUCAGGGAACUAGCACUGUGAUCAGUGAUCUAUUCCUCUUCUCGAAAAUUAAUAUGAGCAUGAGAAUUGAUUAAAGCACCUAAUGAAUCUGACCUAAACUGUGGUGCUGAUAUACGGUCUUAUCCUUGCAUAAUUUUAGAACAUUUUAAAUCAUUAGAUAGAUCUAAAACAUUACAUGAAACAAACAACCAAGACUAAAGCAUAAUUAAACCAGUACACAGUCCGUACUAGUUUACAACAAGAGACGAUAUGACAAGUACUUCUAGACAUAAUAAGGCCUUUAGUAACAGAAAACACGCACUGCAGACUGCCAUAUAUAAUGAUUCUAGGGUGCGGCUGAUCCUGUGACUUAUAACUAUUGUGAGCCACUGAACCUGUGGUCUAUAACGUAUCGCGAUUUUGCUGGAACAGGAGCAGUGACAGGCAUUGCAAGGGGAGUUUCCGAUGGAGAUGAAGAGGGAGUAGGGGACUCAUGUGUAGAAGCAAUCAAUUGAAAUCUAUUUCCUCCGGUUAUCUUUACUGCAGUCAUUAGAAGGACCACUACUAGAAUUGUUAAUCCCAUCUGGUUAGCCAUUAUAUCUGUAUUAAAUCUAAAAUCUUGUAGUACAUGUUAAGGGUUAAUAGAGAACUGUCUUUAUAUUUAUAGACAUAUAGUAGAGGGUAUAUGUUAAGAGUUAAUCAGAAAUCCCAUCUGUUUACCUGUAUCAGUAUGCAUCUCACUAUGAUCAGUUUUACCUGAAUAAUGUUUUUAUGUGUAUUGCUUCAUUAGGGCACCAGCAUAAUGAUCAUAUUUGCAGUCCAUCAACAGCUAAACUGUACGUUUCUUAGAUGGUGAUAUGCGUUUGUGUGCUUAGACAAAUCCACGUAAAAAACAAGAGUGUAUACAAGCAACAUUUUUAUUAUAAUAUUUUGCAUCAUAUUUUUUAUAGUAGAAAUCGGGAAUCAAAACUAAUCGGUUGACCUAACAAUUCAAAAUUUAUAGGAAAUAUCUCGGAGAUUUUGAAUAAAUUGAAGAUUUUUAAUCAAACUAGAGUUUAAUCGACUAAACAGAAAUUUCUCUCAUUCAAAAAAAAGGGAUAAGCCAAGAAAUGUGGAUAUUGUCUUAACACCAACUUUGUAUAAUUUAAAAGUACAAAUUUGAAAUAAUUAUGAUAAUCCUUAGUAUAUUGAUCAUGGUGGGAGGAUGGGUUUGCUGAAGAUUAUUAUAAUUAUUAAUUGCAGACGGCGUUUAUGGAUUUCAGCAGCUGCGUUAUGCCAUUUAAUACAUAUAAGAAUGGCCAAAUAAGAACGGCACAUAUAUAAAACGGUCUUUCUAAUGUGUGCCCAAGGGCACACAAUAAGCACCAAUUUUCAUGAAAAUGGCUUGUUUUGAUUGGUGGAAUUGAUGUGAAUGCAGGGGGACCAUUUACAUUUAUUAUCCAUCCACCAAUCAAAAGUUAGUAUUCUCAUGAAUGUUAGUGACUAUUGUGUGCCUUUGGGCACACCAUAGAAAAUUCGUAUAUAAAAAUAGCCGAAGUCCUCCAACAAACACAAGGGCCAGUUAUACAUACUAAGGAUAAGGCACUUUGGUUAAUUAUGGGGAGUGUGGCUAUAAAAAUUGGCCACACACAGAAUCACAAAUAAUGACAUAUAUCUGCUUAGCACAUAUGAUUAUCGAGUUCCAGUCAAGUCGAGGGAACUCAACCUAAUAUUAUUAUGUCAAGACUCGCUACUCCACAAUAAUAUGAUAUUGUCCGCACAGGUUUUUUUUGGAUAUCUCCACUAGUAUGAUAUCUCCACAAGUCUUCAUACUAGUGGAGUUAUCUGCCAUGUUAUACUAGCUUUUGCCUCUCCCACACUUGAUAUGGGACAACUCCUAACAAUUAAUUCGAGUUGCAGUUCAACCAAAUCCGGUUUCAAUCUAUAGCCCUAUGUACAAACAUGUCGCUUAUAGACCAUCAACGAUUCAAACCCUAAAUAUCGUCAUAUAUGCGUCGUAGGGGUACUUCCAAUUUUACACAUACCCCACACUAAUAACUAUAAUUUUUAUCGUCAAGAUAACCUCAACUUUCUUCUCACGUCGGAGGGGCAUUAGGGCAUUAUCUGACAAGUAUGUACUUACACUCAAAUAUUUAAGAUAUUCGAAUAUAUAAGACCAAUUUCAGUCUAAAUCAAAAGGCUGCAAGAUUUAAAUUCCGUCAAGUUGAAGUGAAGAUUUGAAACUAAUAAUUAAUGGAUUAAUCAGUACAAUCGAAUUUGCAGCUGAUUUUACUUUCACUUGAGAAAAUAAAUCGACACGUCUUCUUGAAAUGAAAACUCUUAAAAGCAAGCAUAUAUAGUGUUGUUUGGUCACCAAUCUUUCAAAAAAAAAAAAAAAUCCCUUAUUUUUUUUUAAAAAUAGAGGCUUAUUUCAUAAAAAGUACGGUUGUAUGUACUUUUCUCCAAAAGUGAGCCUUUAUUUCUGGAAAAUAUGGUUAGCCAAACUGUCGCAUAGACAGCUUCCACCUUCCCAAACUUCUACUACGACUCCAGGUUGUUUAAUAUAGAUCCUUUUUUUACUAUUAACAUUGUAUGUAUUCAUAAACAUCUAAACGUUAUCAAUAGAUAUUCAUUUAAAAUAUGUAAAAAAAAAAGAGUUAAGAAUGAGCCACGAUCAUAGAACAGACCAAGCACACAAAUUUACAGAUUGCAUUAGAAUCUCAGUCUGUUUUUAUACACAAACAAACCGCAAUAUUGUCUCAGUAAAUGUAGCUCCAACCCAGUUUUUUAAACAUAAAGUCGAACUUAAGGCAUGCAUAUAUACAUGCGCGACAUGAAUCAGAUUAAUAACAUGAUUUAAUUCUUCGGUUUUUCUAUGAUGUGCCCAUGGGCACACAAUAAGCAGAAAUGUUGAUAAAUUUGCUUUGUUUUAAUUGGCUUACAAUCUUUAAUAAUGGCGGCCCCCUGCAUUCACAACAGCCACACCAAUCAAAAUACACCAAAUUUAUAGAUUUUAGUGCUUAAUUAGCAUGUGCUCAUGGGUAGACACUAGAAAAUCCCUUAAUUCUUACAUAAUAUUUUAUAUCUGAUUGAGAUCAUACGAUAGAAACUUAUCAUACGGUCUCAUUCACCUAGCAAUCAAAGAGCAUACCAAUAUUUUGGAAUGGCAUAUAAGAAAUGCUCUGAAGUUGCAUAUCAUAUGCAAUAAAGAUUUGAAUAUAAUAGGAAUUCUCCAAAAUAAUUUUAAGUGCUAAUAUUGUGAAGGACUUCUCUACAUCUUGUCAUCUUCUUUUAUGGACUUGUCGAUAAGUUGAUUUUUAGACUUAUCAAUAAGUCACUUUUCUUAAGUUGUCUUGACUUGUUGAUAAAAUUUCCAAUCCUCAACAUAGCAUUCUAGACUUUGCUUCACGAGAGUUCACGAUAUAGCUUUAUGACUUAUGACUUUGCUACAUGUGACUUCUCGAUAUAGCUUUUUGGUGAAAAUGCGUCUUACAGGACAUCCUAGUAUAUUUAGGAUUUUUCCUAAGAACCUGCUGACUAGCUCCGUCACAAACACACAUAUGUAAAUCGGACUAACCGAGCAAUAAGACCUAGUUGAGUGGGAACUUCGUGCGAUGUAGGGUUUGGGACCCGAUCUCCUUUGAUAAAAUCUUCCCACUGUCUCUUCAACUCGGGUGAGCGCCUGAGAGCUGGUGAAGUUCGGACCUCGUGACCCUUUGGAUCAAGGCAAGACUUGAGUUCACUGUAUGAGACUUCAAUAUGUAGUUCUUUGAUUUCACUAUAUGAAACUUCUUUACUUGUUAUUUCAUCUGCCGUAAGAGACUUCCUGCAUUGACUUCAAUAUGUUGUCAAGAAGUGGACUUGGCAAGUUUCUGAGGCUUCUAUAUAUUUAUAAAAAAUGCCCUUCUCGAUAUCAGCUUAGGCAAAUCUCUAAUUUCAUAAAAUUUAUUCUUCCAAAUUUUAAUUCUAUGUUAUGAGUCAUGAGGUAUGAAAAAUUUCAUAAAUUUCUGUCAAAAGUAGAGAAAUUAUUCUUAAAUUUCUUAAACUUAUAUCUCCAGACUUAAAAAUUAGAGAAUCUUUCAAUCUUUACAUGAAUUACACACUUUACUCCAAUCACAUUCGAAGUUCUCAACAUUUAGAAGGCAUACAUGAAUAAAUCUUGACAAGUUCAAGAUGACACUAGGGUCUGUUUGGGAGUGCAGUUACAAAUUGUUGUGUUGUCAAGAAAACUGCUGGUAGAAUAAGCGUUGUUACAAAAAUCAGAUUACUAUUUGAUAAGUUUUUGAUAUGGGCUUAUUUUGAGUUAUAAUAUAAAAAAAUAAUGUUUUUGUUGAGGUUUGAUAAUAAAAUCUGUAACAGCUACCUGCAAAAGCUGAAAAGAAGCUUUUUCCAAAAGUAUGACAAGAGCUUCUUUUUCCAAAAGUAUGGGACGAGCUGCUUUUUCUAAAAGCAGUUUUUCAUCUAAAAACUGUUGUUCGGAAAAGAUGUUUUAAAAUUUACCAAACAGUUUUUCACAUGCUUUUCAGCAAAAAGCUGUUGUUGUCUGCAAUAGCAACCCCAAACACUACCUAAUGCUUGUUAUAAUGUAGGCAUAUCUUAUACUUAGCAAAUUUUAUAUUUAAUAUGUUUUAAAUAAGUGCAUAAUAUUUCAAAUAGUAUCUUGAUAGCAAGAUAUUCAAAAUUUAUAAUACUAUGGAUUUUAAAGAGUAAACUUCAUAGCUGUGGCCAAACUUUACACGAGCUACAAAAAAUUGGCUAGGUUUUCAAAUUCUCAGAAAUGUGGCUAAAUAUUAUCUCCGCUUUUUAAAGGAGUUGCUCCCGUUAAAGUGUCGUUAAAAACUUCAGGUUAACUGAUAUAAUUAGAUUUUCUAAGGGGUAUUUUAGUCUAAUACUUAGAAAAUAUAUAUUAUGUGCUAAAAAGGAAAAUUGAACAUACUUUACCAUUACCAAACCCUAAUUAAAAAGAGGAAGCGAUCAGUAGGAAUGAGGGGAAGUUCAUGGAGACUAUUGUUAACCAAUUUUAAUGAGAAGAAUCAGAGUAAUAUUGGGUCACCUACUUGUGGGUUUGAGAGGAUAAUUCUCUGUCUUUUUAUCUAAUGGGCUUCAGUUAUUUUGUGUUUUUAACCAGUUAAUUAUGAUUUCGAUUGUUACUUUUUCUAGCAUGAGCAGUGGCCAUAGAUCUGUAUGUUUCAUUGAAGCACACAAGUGUUUGAUAAAAGUCCCUUUAAAAUUAUUUGCUUGAGCAACCUUUUGGAUCACUUGUAAACACUGAUAUAUUCAUGAUAAGAAGAUUUCUAGUGUAGUAAGACCCUUCACACACACACAUAUUUUAUUUUUGCUAUAAUUUUAAUUGUAUUGUAUAAAGGGAGUAACAUAUGACUAGUGUGAACUUAAUGAUGACGAAGGUUUAAAAUUAAAAUCACAUAAAGCAUCUAAAAUCACAUGCAAAUAAUGACAUUUAAAAUUGAAACAUGUCAAAAGUGAAAAGUUUUACAAUGUAACAUCCCUCUAACAACUUAACAAAAAAUGCCAAUUAAAAUUUAGGCUAGUCAAGAACGGACAAUUAAUGUAUCAUGUAACGGCAUUCUUCCCACCUAACAAAUGUUGUAUAUUAUUUUAAUUAUUAUAUGUUUCGUGUUAAUUACUUAAUAUGGAUGAACCAUUUUCAAUACCUAUUAAAUAUAUAAUAAGUAUCCAAUUAAGCCUUCUUUUCAAAAUCGUGGAUGAUUUAGAAGAGUUACUAUAUAAACAUACUAUCACAACUUAUGUUUACCGAGUUCCCGAAUUAUAUCAUUUUCGACAUUAAGGUUGAUUAUUGCUUUAAAAGUUUUAGUGAUGGUGAAUAUAAAAUACACAUGAUGAUCUUAUAAAACAAUUUUUUUAUUGAAACAUAGACUUGUAAAUACUACAUGCACUAAAAUCUAUUUAGACAACACCUUAUUGUGCACGAUGAGGUGUUGUUUUAUUUGAAGUUUUUUGACUUCUUGGAACAUAUUUUCUCAUCCAAACAUGUUUACCAUUAAUGGUAAACUUAGCCUUCGGCAAUCCAUUGAGGAUGGUAUAAAUUAUGUCAACUUCAAAGAAUACAAUUCUAGCAAAGAGUGGUUGAUCUCCAAUCUUUCUCACUUCUUCCAUGGAAAAUGAUUCAAUGCAGUCUCCAAAAUUUUGCACAAGAAAUUCGCGAAUUUCCCACUCGGUCACUGGAUAGCCUUUGGAAAAUGUAGCAAACAUAGUCCGAUUUUCAUGAGGCAAAACACUACUGCUAGAACCAUUAGACAACAUUAAUUGCAUGGAAAGUUGCUGUUGGCUCUCUGCUAUCCGUCGAGCUUCGUUAUGAAAUACAGUUUGUUGCAUUAAAUCACUAAAAGCCUGCAUACAAAUUUGUGUUCGAACUAUUUCCACUCCAGAUAUUGCAAGUGUUUGAUUGUUUUGCAAAUACUGGAGUGAAAAUCCAUGUAUGAAGCUUUGUGUAAAAUUAAUAUCAUUGACUUCAUUUAUGAGAUGUAGUUGUGGAUUAUUGAUAAAAUUGAGGCAUAUGUCAGCCUCAUCUACAAGCUCACUAAUGAGUUGGAUGGGUAAAUGGAUGAUUCUUCGUAUGAUGCCUAGGAAACCGACCCGCUCAAGCCACAACCAAAAGGACAUGGUAUUCAUGGCAUCCAUGGGAUCGCAGAAUAGUUCUGUCACAAGAAUCAUGUAUAACAUACGAUCCAUGGUGUGAAACACACGAAAUUUUGCUUCAGAAAUAUGGACUUGCGUAGGCCAAUUAGAGAAACCUUCCAUGACUGAUGUGUAAGUGUGUCAAAAGCCUACAUUCAAAAAUCAAAAAAGACAAUGUAUUAGUACGCAAUCUAGCUUAUUUUUUAUUAGUGUGUUCGGGUGUCAAACCAUCUUAGAAUCAAUUGAUUCUUAGAAGAUUCAUAAGUGGUAUACAAUUACACUUGUUACUUAUAAGUUCUCCAAAUAUAUAAGAGAGGUAUAGUAGGACUUGAUAUACAAAUUGUUGAAUCAAAGAAACAUUGAGAAGAUAUAUAUGGAUAUUAAAAAAAGAAAAAAAACUUCAUGAAUGAAGGAAUGAAAAUAAGUUUUAUUUUGAUAUCCUUAUGAGUUGAGAAAUAGGUAUGAUCAAGCGUAUCUAUUGUAGAAUGUAAAUAGAUCUAAACGAUAAAGAUGAAAAGAAUGCCAACUCAAAGAAAGUAAACAAGCUUACUAGUUUUGAGUAGAAGAGAUGUUGAAGCUUGUUAUGAAUAAAAAAAACUCUCACGAGCCCUUUUAUAGCAAAUUUGUGUAAUGGUAGAUGACUUCGAGAAAUAUUAUAAUAAAUAGAUAUUUACAAUUUUCAAAUAUGUACAAAGAUGCAAUUAACGCAUUUACUACUAUAUUUUUGUCAUUGUUCUAAGCAUGCACGCACUUACACACACACACACAUAUGACAGCUCAUGACAGUUGUAAAUCUAAAAGUGACAAGCACAAAGAAGUAUAUGAUGGACAAAAUUACAUGCAAAAAAAGCCUAACUAAAAUUUAUAUAGGUCCAAAUGUGGUUAAGAUUAAGAUGUAACGUCUUCCAGCCUAGCCUAGUCUACCCACCUAACAAAGGCAUUAUGUUAUUUUUUUUAUUUAAUAAUUAAAUAUUAAUUUUGGUGAACGACGUUCUAAUCUUACAAUUUCAUAUGUAUUAACACAUCAAAGUUUUAUAACAUUUCCUAAAUUGAUGAAAUUCCGUCAUAUAUGUAACACAAAAGAUAUCGCGAAGAUAAAUUAAAGAUAAUAUACAUGAUAAUACAAGGUAUGAAAAUUAUUUCACAAUAAAAUUUGCAUUAUUCAUUACGGUAAAAUAUUUUAUAUCCACAGAGUAUAUAAAAAACAUGUAGAUAGUUGAAAAUAUCAUUUUAUGCGUACGAGAGUCGAGACGAUAUUUAACUCAAUUUGUUUUUGAAAUAUACCAGUGGAAGUGAACAUCCAGAUAGAAAUAGUAUGAAAAAAUAAGCCAUAGUUAAGGCAGUCGUGACAUUUCUCGUCAUUAAUUAUUGAAUUUUUUGUGGUGUGUCCAUGAGCACAUGCUAAGCCUUAAAUUUUAUAACUUUAACUGGUUUCGAUUGGUUCAUACUUCUCAAUAAUUAUAUAUACUAGUUUAUAACCCGUGCAAUUCACGGGCAAUUAUAAUAUUUGUUAUUUUAUUGAAUAUAUUUUAAGUUUAACUAAUUUUAUUUUGAAAAUAAAAUUAUGACAAAAUAAUAUGGUUGAUUAAAUUUUUUAUUUAACAGCUGAAUAAAUUCUUAACAGUUAAGUUCGUCAAAUGGCUAAUUAAAAACUAGGUCGAAUAUUCAUAUUUUAAUUGGAAUGUUAAAAAAUAUUUUUUUACAAGUUAUAAUUUAAGGAGACUUAUAAAUCCAGAUAUAAACCAACCAAUCAACUUAAUAAUAUUUCGUUAUUAAUAAUUAAUACUAUAGUAUUGAACAUAUUAUAAGUUAAAGCGAAGAGUAAACCCAAAUACCGAACUAUCAUACUAACCUAUUUUUUAAUGUUUUGAUUUAUUAGAUAAUAAAAAAUGUAUUAUAACAUAUUAGAAAUUAAGGAGGUCUGUGGGUUAAAUACCAACCGACACACCAAACUCGACAGAUCGAUCGACUGACUGAUCGACCGACGAACUAAACAUUUCAUGUUUCGACUUUAAUAGUACGAUAAUAUAUAGUAUAGUGCAGAUUGAUAAAUUAAUUUUAAAGUGAGAUCACUAGAGAAUUUAAAAAUAAUGUUAAUGUAUUUUGGUUGAAAAAUAUGACCGAUUAUUUAUUAAUAAUUAUAUAUAAUAUUAUUAUAUUUUUAUAUAUAUAUGUCGCUCGUGUUAAUCGUAGAAGAUCGGUUUUUUUAGUUAGAAAAUCUAAAAAAGAUAAUGUUUUUCAAUUAAAAAGAUAAUUACUAUGUUGCUCGAUGUUAUUUUAUAAGAUUGAGAUUUUUUAGUUAGAAGAUAUAAAAGAUAAUAUAUUUCGGUUCAAAGGAAUAACUGGUUAUAUAGAUAGGCCCAUAUUUUGGCCCAGGUACCACCAGUUAUUUAUUAGUAACUAUAUAUAAUAUUAUUAUAUUUUUAUAAAUAUGUCGCCCGUGUUAUUUGUAGAAGAUCGAUUUUUUUAGUUGGAAAAUCUAAAAAAGAUAAUGUGUUUCAAUUAAAAAGAUAAUUACUAUAUUGCUCGAUGUUAUUUUAGAAGAUUGAGAUUUUUUUCGUUAGAAUAUAUAAAAGAUAAUAUAUUUUAGUUAAAAGGAAUAACUGGUUAUAUAGAUAGACUCAUAUUUCGGCUCAGCUACCGACCAACCAAAUUUUCAAUUUUUCGACUUUAAUAGUAUAGUAUAGAUAGAUGAUUUGAGUUUGACAUAUUUUUUCUUAUUUAAUAUUCUCCCACUUGUUCAUACUUCCUUUUUCAUAUUUAUAACUAAAUAUGCGAUCUUUUUUGAAAAAAUAUAUUUUUGGAAUAAUAAAGAUAAUAUUUAUAUAAAUUAUAUUAUUGAAUGUUAUUUGGAGAACUUCGUGUCAUACUAACGUUAUAAUUUUUCAUUCAUCAGAGGCUUCAACUCUUUUAGAAUCUACGUCAUAAACUAAAAACACUAUAUAAACAAUUCAGUAAUAAAUUAUAUGAAUAAUUUUAAAUUUAUAAAUUACUUAUCUAAAAUAUCUAAAUCAGUUUUACUAUAAAUGAUGUCUUUUAGUUGCAAAGACAUCCGCUUCCUAGAAACCGAUGUGUUAAGUUAAUUUUUUUUGGAGGGGGGGGGGGGGGNNNNNNNNNNNNNNNNNNNNNNNNNNNNNNNNNNNNNNNNNNNNNNNNNNNNNNNNNNNNNNNNNNNNNNNNNNNNNNNNNNNNNNNNNUUGGGGGGGGGGGGGGGGGGGAUAACGCACUUAAUCCCCUAUAUCGUUCUUCUUUAGCAGUAUUUUCCCAAAUUUUCCCCCAAGCCAAAAUCAAAAUAUAAAAAUUAAAGGAUAAAUAAUCAGAUCUUAAAAGCAUAAAACACAUAACACAUACACAAAACAGACCAUCUUUCUCUAUCUCUCUUUACCAGUUUCCCCAAACCCAAACUCAAAAACCCUAGAUUUCACCAAGCAAAUUAGCUCUAAUUCAUGUAGAGGUCAACAAGUAAUAGCUCAAAUGAAGGUUAAAAUCACACAUGAGGCUCCAAUUUGUUCCCGGCGUUGAGAGCUCCCGUCUUUGAAAGCUCCGAAUUGCAAGCUCGAUUUUACGCGAUUGCUCAUAUAGUUUAACAACAUCUCAAUUAUAACUCAGCACUGAAUUAGGUAUGUCUGAACGUAAUUUAUAUUCAUUUGAUUUUUAAAAUCUCAAGUUUUUGUGCAUGUUUAAUUGGUCGUGUAUCAUUCCUUUUUAAUAUAAAACGUAAAUGUUAACUGAUAUCAUUCAUUCUAUUAUUCACAAAUUGUUUGUCUAAAUUCAACUCCGGUCUUUACUUUUUGUUCAUUUUUUUCUUUCCUUUUUAAUGUUAUUGUAAUACUAAACUAUUAUUAGCCAAUCGUUCAUUUGACCAUUUUACCAUUUAAAGAGCAUAAAGUAGUUAAUUUUCUUCACAAAGCUAAUGAAGGACAAUUAUUGUAGAAUCCAAUUGGCAUAUGCAAGUCACUAUUUCUGAAGCUAAAUUUCGUGUGUUUCACACAAUAGAUCGAAUAUUAUACAUGAUUCUUGUGACAGAUCUCUUAUGUAAUCCAAUAGAUGCCAUGAAAAUCAUGGCCUUUUGGUUAUGGCUUGAGCGUAUGGACUUUCUAAGUGUCAUAAGAAGAAUCAUGCUCUUGCCUAUCCACCUCAUUAGUGUGCUUGUGGAUGAGGCUAACGUAUGCCUCAAAUUCAUCAAUAACCCACAACUGCCUCUCACAAAUGAAUGCAAUGAUAUUCAUUUUACACAAAAUCUCAUACAUGGAUUCUCACUCUAGUAUUUGCAAACGAAUAAAACACUUGAGAAAUUUGGAGUGGAAAUAGUCCAAACUAAAAUUUAUUUUCUGGCUUUUAGUGAUUUAUGGAACAAACUAUUAUAAAAAGUGAAACUUGAAGGAUAGCCCAGAACCAACAACAACUCUCCAUACAACAAGGAUGUCGUAUAAUGGUUCUAGCAAUAGAGUGGUGCCUCAUGAACAACAGACUAUGUUUUCCACAUUUUCCAAAGGCUAUCUAGUGGUCAUGUGGGAAAUUCGACACUUUCUUGUGCAAAAUUUUGGAGACUGCAUUAAAUCCAUUUGCAUGAAAAAGGUGAAGGAGAUUGGAGAUCAACCGUUAUUUGCUCGAGUAGUAUUCUUUGGAGUUAACAUAAUAUACAUCGUCUAAGAUGGUUUACCCAAGACUGAAAUUUUCAUUACUAAUAAACAUAUUUGGACGAGGAAGUUUGUGCCAAGAAGUCUAAGAAAUUCAAAUGAAACAACACACGUGUGCGUACAAUGAGGUGUUAUAUUGAACUUCAUUUGAUUUUUUGGAACGUACUUCCUCAUCCAAACAUGUUUACAGUUAAUGGUAAACUUAGCCUUUGGUAAGCCAUCUAAGAUGAUGUAAAUUAUGUUAACUUCAAAGAAUACUAUUUGAGAAAAUAGCGGUUGAUCUCCAAUCUCCCUCACCUGUUCCAUGGAAAUGGAUUCAAUGCAGUCUCCAAAAUUUUGCACAAGAAAGUUUCGAAUUUCACACUUGAUCACUGGAUAGCUUUUGAAAAAUGUGGAAAACAUAGUCUUUUGUUCAUGAGGCACUACCCUAUUGCUAGAACCAUUAUAAAACAUCACUUGUUGUAUGGAGAGUUUUUGUUGGUUCUAGGAUAUCCUUCAAGUUUCACUUUUUAUAAUAGCUUGUUCCAGUAAAUCACUAAAAGCCAGCAAAUAAAUUUUAGUUUGGACUAUUUCCACUCCAAAAUUUUCAAGUGUUUGAUUUGUUUGCAAAUACUGGAGUGAGAAUCCAUGUAUGAAAUUUUUUGUAAAAUGAAUAUCAUUGUAUUCGUUUGUGAGAGGCAGUUGUGGAUUAUUGAUGAAUUUGAGGCAUACGUUAGCCUCAUCCACAAGCGCACUAACGAGGUGGAUAGGAAAGAGCAUGAUUCUUCUUAUGACAUUUAGAAAGUCCAUAAGCUCAAGCCAUAACCAAAAGGCCAUGAUUUUCAUGGCAUCAAUUGGAUUGCAUAAGAGAUUUGUCACAAGAAUCAUGUAUAAUAUUCGAUCUAUUAUGUGAAAGACACGAAAUUUUGCUUCAGAAAUAUGGACUUGCAUAUGCCAAUUGGGGAAUCCUUGUCGUCUAAAGACAUCCUGACCUCAAGGCAAUUAGGACUGUUAAAAUUUCAUGCUUCAAAGAAGAUAAAGUGGUGCUCAGACCUAUGCUAGAACAGUUCAAAUUAAAGAAGACUAAGGAGAUUAUACAUGAUACUUCAAGGGUACGUGGUCAUCCAUCCCCGAUUACCAUUACAACUGAAGGCAUGGAUCUGAAUUUGUCAUUCAGAAAGCUGAGGGAGAUGAGACACAUUACUUCCGUACAAAAAUUUAAAAGCUAGGUUUGAGAAUCCACCUCCUGUGAAUGCGUUGGAAUAGGUCGCUUUGAACACCAUCACUUCCGGAUUUGACUUGCAGAAGCGGGUGGAACUCAAGGAAGAGGGAGCAACAAAGAGAAGGGCUGAUGAAGCUGCUCUAAAUGCAAAAGCUAGGAAGGCAAGAAAGACCGACGCAGACUAGAGGAGCACUAUAUUUUAUUAUUAUUAUUAUUAUUAUUAUUAUUAUUAUUAUUAUUAAAAGUAUUAUAUCCUAUUAAAACACAUAUAUUGAUAAGUUUUUUAUAAUAUAACGAUUAUUCAUAGGAUAGAAUUACAUCUCAACAUAACUCAACGUAUUAAUUUUUAAAACCGAAACGAUUUAACUUAGGAUUUAACUCCCUUUCAGUGGAACAUCGGAAGUAUAUAAUAUCAAAAAUUUGUUAUCAUGUUUUAAAAUUUUUUAUUUGAUAAUAACUAUUAUUAUACGGCUAUAAAAAGACAUCUAUUGACUAGGAAUUUUUUUUAUUUAAUUUUAAUUAUUAUUAUACUACUAUAAAAAGACUUUUGUAUUGAUUAGAAUUUCCUAAUGUAACGAUUUUUCCACUAUUUAUAUCAUAUUUCAGAAUUCAAAUAAAUAAGGAGGAAUAUCAAAUUACUAACUUUUGAUUAUCAUUAUAUAAUUUUUUUUCAAUAAUACUUAUUAGUAUACUAUUAUGAAAAGAAUCUUACAUUGACUAAGAUUCUAUAAUAUAACAAUUAUUUUACUAACAGAAUUACAUCAUCAACAAAAUUAUUAGUCUGAUUUUAAAAACUCAAACAAUUUAAUUUACAAACAACUCUGUGUAACUAUUAUAUAAAUCUCAAAUUUUGAUGAUCAUACAUUAUGGCAAGCCACUUUAAUGUUUUAGCUUGCUUUGAUAUAUAUAUUGUUGAUAGAGCCCGUCAUAUUCUAUGUUCUAACUUAGUUUUGCAGGAAGUUAAUAUAUCAGCAUAACAGUAAGCUGUAAUGUGAUAAUAGAAAGCUGUUACAGAGAUCGAACAGAAGUUGAAUUCUACCCAGUUUUUAUCUCAAGACAUCUAUGAGGUUUAGGACUUCUUAGUUGUAAAUUCUCUGUAUAAUAUAUGUUUUUACUUAAUGCCUUAAGCUCGUUUAAAAUCUAUAAAAUGUUUUCUAAAAUAACGGGAGAAGUUGAGAAGGAUUCAAACUCUUUAUCUCUUAACAACUUCUAUCUUUCCCAUAACUAUAGGAGUUGAUUUAUAGACGUUUUUCCUUGUAUCAACACUCCUAUACUUAUGCAUCUGACUUAAUGACGCUAAGAACAACAUUCAUAUGAAUGUUAAUGGAAGAAAUCCGAUUAUAUCCGUUAUAUUAUUUCAGCAUAUAUACGAUUUCAAUUUUCAUACAGACUACGCAACUCGCACUUUGAAAAGCAAAACAAUAUCUUUAAACACGAGCUUAAGUCUUCACUACCUUCAUAUGUUAUUUAGAGAAUAUAUCUUGAGUUGUAAUCGUUAUAUUUGUAAUUGAUUAUGGUAAUUAGUUGCUGAAAUUAGCAAAUAGUUCUUAGAGUUUAGAAAGAGGAGAGUUAGGUAGUUAGUCGCAUUGUUUUCCAGGUGCAAAGGGUUCAGGAUCGAAGGAAUUCAAGAAGAGGAAGCUCAACGAAUUCAGAGGUUCAAGGGACAGAUUGCUUGGAGAAGUCAGUGGGGUGCUAAUUGCAGUCAGCAUAUAGUUAAGGGAUAACAACAAGCUAUUUCACUGAUCGGGAAGGGGAGAUAUAUUAUUAUUGUGUAAUUGCUGUUAUAUGCAGUAAAAAUAUAUUCUCUUACCAAGUUAAUAAGGGACCAAGACGUACACCAUUAGAUAUAGGGGUCGAACUUAUAAUAUAAAUAAAUGAUCUAAAUUCUUGUUACAAGCCUCUGGUCAAUUAUAGCAACCAUUUCAUGUUGGCUAUAUUUUCUUUUGUAAGAGGAGUCGUCUAUGAGAGCACACAUUUUUAUAUUUUGUUUAUAUUUUUUAUUUAUGAAUGACAUAUAUACCUUUUGCUAAAGGCUUUUGCGGGUUGUAAAAUCUCUGACAGCAACUCCAAUUCUGCAAAAUCCUAACUAAAACAGAGUUGAUAUAUUAAAAAAAGAAAAAUAUAUAAUCUCCUCAAAAUCACACACUCCAAAGAUACAUUUAUUUUGUCUAUAAUUUUAUUCAAGUCUUUGUGAAUGACUGUAUUUAUUAUACUGUAACAAAUGUCACGUCUUAAUUAUCAUCGGGAAAAAAGUCUUAUAAAUUCAACAAAUUUUACAUAAUAUCUUAUCUUAUGGAUCUAAAGACCGACCAUUAUAAUCAACAGUCAACACCAUUGAAAGUGAUUUAAGAUGGUGCAAAAAACUUAAAAGAUGAACGGGCCAGAAUAUAAAUUCUGAUCCACAUAAUGAAUUCGAAUUGGGGUUGGAUUAGAAGACCAACCAACUGAUAGUACUCUGAACCUGAUUUAAAAUAAUAAUAAAUAUAUUAAUAAAUAUAACUUUUAUUAAAAGAAUAAAAAAUAUUUAUAACAAUACUUUAAUUGAUAUUAAUUAAUUAAUAAAUAACAUAAAUAAUGCUCUUUCAAUUUUACCAAAUUCUUUACAAUAGGUUGGGCAUGAAAAUUAUGAAAAAAGAUAUAAAAUAGUGCUAAAGAGUAAGAAAAGUGAUAUUAAACCAGUACUUAUUGGCUUUUUUUUAAGUUACUACAUAAUGUGGGGGUAACGUGAAGGCUGAGGGGCACUGCNGACAGCAACUCCAAUUCUGCAAAAUCCUAACUAAAACAGAGUUGAUAUAUUAAAAAAAGAAAAAUAUAUAAUCUCCUCAAAAUCACACACUCCAAAGAUACAUUUAUUUUGUCUAUAAUUUUAUUCAAGUCUUUGUGAAUGACUGUAUUUAUUAUACUGUAACAAAUGUCACGUCUUAAUUAUCAUCGGGAAAAAAGUCUUAUAAAUUCAACAAAUUUUACAUAAUAUCUUAUCUUAUGGAUCUAAAGACCGACCAUUAUAAUCAACAGUCAACACCAUUGAAAGUGAUUUAAGAUGGUGCAAAAAACUUAAAAGAUGAACGGGCCAGAAUAUAAAUUCUGAUCCACAUAAUGAAUUCGAAUUGGGGUUGGAUUAGAAGACCAACCAACUGAUAGUACUCUGAACCUGAUUUAAAAUAAUAAUAAAUAUAUUAAUAAAUAUAACUUUUAUUAAAAGAAUAAAAAAUAUUUAUAACAAUACUUUAAUUGAUAUUAAUUAAUUAAUAAAUAACAUAAAUAAUGCUCUUUCAAUUUUACCAAAUUCUUUACAAUAGGUUGGGCAUGAAAAUUAUGAAAAAAGAUAUAAAAUAGUGCUAAAGAGUAAGAAAAGUGAUAUUAAACCAGUACUUAUUGGCUUUUUUUUAAGUUACUACAUAAUGUGGGGGUAACGUGAAGGCUGAGGGGCACUGCUAGGAACUUUCUGGUGCAUGAGUAGUACUCCUACUUCUUUGUAGCUUCAAGCCAGAACUUUGUUUAUGAUAUCGCGGCUUCUGCACAUGGCUUCAAGUGGCUCGAGUUUAGGCAUAGUAAGUCCUCUUCCUUCGGCCAAAUCAACCUCCUCCUCGCUAAUUCUCUUCCACUCAAAACAUUGUAUUAACGAGGCUAAAGCCAAGCCAACGACACGUUGGGCGAGUCCAGAACCAGGGCAAGACCUUCUGCCCAUACCAAAUGGCAUCAACUUAUAAGGCUCAGCUGAUAUUCCACUUUCAAACCUCUCUGGCUUAAAACUUAAAGGAUCAUCCCACACCUUUUCAUCCCUGUGAAUGGAUGUCACGAAUUGGGCUAGAAAAUAUAUAGUGGGCCAACUUAUACUCUCGGACUUAGUGGUGACUGUUGCAAGCCCAAUAGUUGUAGAACAUAGACUCGUACUAUAAGUAAACAUAUUACUCUUACUUUGCUGGUUAUGAAAUGGAAUGAAUGUUUUUAUCUUUUAUUCUCUCUGCAUUUUCCUUUCCAGUACUCUUCUUUUAUGUUCAGUAGCUUUAAUUGCUUGUUCUAGUUGUUAAGAUCAUGACAAUUGGUAUCAGAGCCACCAGUUUCUCGGACAUGGCGGGCACAAUACCUAUUAACUUUCCUCUCGCUUCAUACUCUUCAAACCCCUUUCAAAACCCUAAUUUCACCCAUGAUUUCUAUCAUCCGUACCCAUACAGCCCACCUCUAACUCCUCUACACCAGUAUACACCACCUCCAACACCUCCGCAUGUUUACCAUCAUAUUCAACCACCACCAGAACCAUCAUAUUAUUCCAACACUACUCCCGAAACACCUUAUCUUACCAGAUCUCCAAUGCUAAUUACUGAUACCACCAAGGGUUUUCUGCAUCAAUUAGAUAGUAAGGUCACUCAGUUAGAUGAAAAACUCGUUGCAAUUAGUAAGUUUAUUGUUAACGGAGGAAUUUGGUAGUUAACAAAAUUCGAGGUUCGUGGCCGGAAUCAAGAUCUAUGAUGGUGGCUAAGCGGCGGUGAUGAAAUUUUAGGGGUGGCUGAGAUUAGGGUUUCGAGUUGCCUCCAGAUGCUCCCAACUCGUGUCCCCCUAAUUUGCCUACGUACCCCUAUAUUUAUAGGGGAUCAAGCCAGUACGUAGUUCUUUUCUCCUUAGGAAACCUAAACCUAAUAGGAUUAGGCUUCCCCUUCUGCUAUCUUCCUCCUGAAAGGGGCCCAAUACGAUGAGGCCUAGUCUUGGGCCUUGUAGACUCUCGAGCACCCAAAACUUACCCCAAAUGCAAGGGCGCUUCUCUACUCCCCGACAGGGACAACCCGCCAGACUACAGAGAUAGAGCCUUCCAGGGCGUAUCUUCGAGAAGGUUCCACAAGCUCCCCGACAAGGACAACUCGCCAGACUACAGAGCAAGGCCUCCUCUAAUCUUCAUUCUCUAUCUCCCAAGGAGGGCAACUCCUCAGACUACAAGGUAGAGUCUUCGACAAAUUAACAGUAGGAUCUAUACACACCCAAGGGCGUCCCCCUAGGUAAAAUAUGUCCCCUUCUGCCCUUCAAAUGACGAUCUUUCUCUGUAAGCUUCAACUUGGCGCGCCCUGAAAAUAAGGCGCGCCCUAUCUUCUUGAACUGGUCUCUUCUGACUGACAUGGCUAGUUUGGGCUUGGUCCAAUAUUGAGCCCAUCAUAGUCUUCUUUUAUGGGCCAGGUCUUCAUGGUGAUUUUUGCAUAUAACAACUACCCCCCAGAUCUUGGUGGCAUUGAAGAUGUCGACGAGAUCUUGAUGUCCUUCAUCCCCUGAGAUGUCAUAUCUUGGUUGUUCUUCAUUGGUGCAGAAGAUGUAGACAUUCCUUAAUUAGACGCACCAUACGUUGCCGUAUAAUAGCUGAGUCUGAAUAGUGCAACUGAGUCGAAUGGGGGAGAUUCCUCUGAAGCUGAUGUUGAAAAAGUUGUUUGAAGAUGAAGUUGAUUCUGCUUGUCGGAGGUGAAGAUGAUGUUCGCUUGACGGAGGUGAAUGCAACAUUUGCUUGAUGGAUGUGAAGGUAGUGUUUGCCUGAUGAAGACGAUGGCGAGGUUGCUGAGGAUGAGGCCACGGAAGCCGAGACUAAAGGAGAGAUGAGGCCGCGGAAGCCGAGGCUGAAGGAGAGAUGAGGCUGCAGAAGCCGAGGCCGAAGGAGAGGCCGCGGAAGCCGAGGCUGAAGAUGAGGCUGCGGAAGCCAAGGCUGGAGGAGAGAUGAGGCUGCGGAAGCCGAGACCGAAGGAGAGGCCGCGGAAGCCGAGGCUGAAGAUGAGGCUGCGGAAGCCAAGGCUGGAGGAGAGAUGAGGCUGCGGAAGCCGAGACCGAAGGAGAGGCCGCGGAAGCCGAGGCUGAAGAUGAGGCUGCGGAAGCCAAGGCUGGAGGAGAGAUGAGGCUGCGGAAGCCGAGACCGAAGGAGAGGCCGCGGAAGCCGAGGCUGAAGAUGAGGCUGCGGAAGCCAAGGCUGAAGAUGAGGCCGCGGAAGCCAAUGCUGGAGAUGAGGCCAUGGAAGCCGAGGAUGAAGCAGAAGAAUGUGCCUUCUACCACGUCUUAGAUGUGGAUGAGGCGUUCCCUUCUUAUCCAAAUCCUUCUUCUAAUCUGUAUGAUCACCCCCCAGUUUCGGAGUAUGAGCUUGACUUGAAGAUGCAGGUUGGAGAAGACAGUGUUGCGAAGAUGUGUUGUGACAUAUAUUUACACUGAAUCUUGAAGACUGGAGUGUUGGACGUGUCUCUGUAUACAAUAUAUAUACACAAUUUUAUUUCGCAAAAUAAUAAGGUUAGUAUUUACCUCAUGGCGCACCCUGUUAGGGGAAGGCGCGCCUCUCGAUAAUUUCAAGAGAACGCUGUUCCGGAGAGACACAUCUUGUAAAUAUCCUCCAUUACUUUCAUCCUGAGUUUACCUUACGAAUUCUUUUCCUGUCUAAAAAUAGCUUACUAAAUAAAAUAUUAGGUUAGAGAUACACAAUAUUUAUUAUAUAAACACCACACAUAAAUAUAUUAAUAUAUUUGUGGUGUUAUAAUAAUAAUCCAUACUCGACAAGAGAAAUAUAUAAUUCGAUUACGCAUGAAAUAUUUAAAUUUAAAACAUACAUAUUCAAAAAUAAAUAUAUGCAUGACAAGAAUAUAUAUACCAAAUGAAAGUUACAAAAAAUGAAAAAUACUUAUCUUUACAUUGAACAUGAGAAACUCCAUGCACCUGCACCUCAAGACAUGUCAGCGAUUAUAACAACAUAUGCUCUCUAUCUUCCGGUAUGUUUGUAUGCACUAUCACCAAGAUCCUGUUGUUUUUUCACAUUGACCCACAAACAAAGAACUCCAAAAUAAUAAUAAUAUAUACACUUAACAUGUACACAAUCACAAUUCUACGUGUCAAAUUAUCUUUAAAAAUAAUCCGUGCAUUUAUGUACAGAAAAGAAAUAAUAUAUGAUACGAAGGAAAAUUAAGAAAGGCUUAUCUUUAUUUUUGCUGGCUGCCAUUUAUGUCAGCUCGUCAUGUGCUCCUUUAAUUCUUAAGUGUCGGUUUCCUUUUAAACCAGCCAUUCAAGCUUCGGCAAUUUGCUCCAUUCCUUGGUUUUCUUUCUCUUCCCCUUCAAUUACCACUCUUCUUAAACCUGUUCAUAGCCUGCCGUUCUUUUGGUCCAUAUAAUAAAAUAUUGUAAUAUUCAUGAUUAGUAAAAAUUAUAAUAAGAGGACCUAAUAGUUUAAUAGCCGAGUUGGUGCACAAUCUUAUAAAAUACAAUGAUGCAUGUCAUAAUAAAUUCAAUCCGCGUAAUAAAUCCAAGUACAUAAAUAUGAAUUAAAUAAAGAAAAUCUUAUCUCUUUUUUUCUUUGAAAGUUGUUUGGGUCUGAAUUUGUUCUGCUGGAGUUGGUUUCCUUUACCGCAGGGAAUCAUUCCGCUUGUCCCUCAGUCAAAUAGUUCCGCGCGCUGUUUAUUGGUUUAUAUACUACAACCUCCUAGUGUUUGAACACAAACCAUAUUUUUUCUGCACAUGUACAAUUACAAGUAAAACUAUAUAAAUUAAAUAAAAUUGAAAAAAGCUUAUCUUUUCCGUUUACAAGUCGGCGCUUAGCUGGAGACCUCGGUGACGUCAGUGCACAUACUAAACUCAUGUACUAGUAAAAAGUAACAGGCUUUUGUCAUCCGGCUAUUCCAAAACAAGUCCUCCUUUUUACUGUUUUGCUAAUUUUAUGCCUCGACACAUAUAUCGUGACUGAUAAAAAAAAACUCAGGACCUUAAGUACGCGUAAAUAAUAAAUUCAUAUAACAACUCAAUCAAACGUAAUAAACAUGUCCUUCCAUAAAAUAUUCACGUUAACAACGAUGAAUAUAUUCAAUGUAUAUUUUGAGUAAAAAGCAUGAUUUUCACAAAACAAUAUUUUUUGUAAAUAAAUAAGUUUAAUAAUUGAAAACGGAAACUUAUCUUCUUCGUCGGUCGUAUCGGAAAUUUGUGGUGGCUUACGGCUUAAGUUGCUCGACGUCUGGCCGACUUGUUGCGUGCUUUUGUUCACAUCUCACACCCAUUAAUUCCCGAACUUUAUUUAAAGUUUAGGCAUGCUAUUGGAUUUCAAUGUGAGUAUCUUGUCGUGCAUGAUAUGCAUCCCAGUGUCCGAGACAAAGCUGUGACGGUAAUAUUCUCCAUCUGUUGCCGAUCACGUGUAUAAACUUUAACGCCGCAUCAUCUGUCCUCCGCAGAUGAAUCUAGAAACAGCCCCUCCUUCUAGCGCCAAUUUGUUAACGGAGGAUAAAAUUGAAAAAAGCUUAUCUUUUCCGUUUACAAGUCGGCGCUUAGCUGGAGACCUCGGUGACGUCAGUGCACAUACUAAACUCAUGUACUAGUAAAAAGUAACAGGCUUUUGUCAUCCGGCUAUUCCAAAACAAGUCCUCCUUUUUACUGUUUAGCUAAUUUUAUGCCUCGACACAUAUAUCGUGACUGAUAAAAAAAAAACUCAGGACCUUAAGUACGCGUAAAUAAUAAAUUCAUAUAACAACUCAAUCAAACGUAAUAAACAUGUCCUUCCAUAAAAUAUUCACGUUAACAACGAUGAAUAUAUUCAAUGUAUAUUUUGAGUAAAAAGCAUGAUUUUCACAAAACAAUAUUUUUUGUAAAUAAAUAAGUUUAAUAAUUGAAAACGGAAACUUAUCUUCUUCGUCGGUCGUAUCGGAAAUUUGUGGUGGCUUACGGCUUAAGUUGCUCGACGUCUGGCCGACUUGUUGCGUGCUUUUGUUCACAUCUCACACCCAUUAAUUCCCGAACUUUAUUUAAAGUUUAGGCAUGCUAUUGGAUUUCAAUGUGAGUAUCUUGUCGUGCAUGAUAUGCAUCCCAGUGUCCGAGACAAAGCUGUGACGGUAAUAUUCUCCAUCUGUUGCCGAUCACGUGUAUAAACUUUAACGCCGCAUCAUCUGUCCUCCGCAGAUGAAUCUAGAAACAGCCCCUCCUUCUAGCGCCAAUUUGUUAACGGAGGAAUUUGGUAGUUAACAAAAUUCGAGGUUCGUGGCCGGAAUCAAGAUCUGUGACGGUGGCUAAGCGGUGGUGAUGGAAAAUAUUGGGGUGGCUGAGAUUAGGGUUUCGAGUUGCCUCCAGAUGCUCCCAACUCGUGUCCUCCUAAUUUGCCUACGUACCCCUAUAUUUAUAGGGGAUCAAGCCAGUACGUAGUUCUUUUCUCCUUAGGAAACCUAAACCUAAUAGGAUUAGGCUUCCCCUUCUGCUAUCUUCCUCCUGAAAGGGGCCCAAUACGAUGAGGCCUAGUCUUGGGCCUUGUAGACUCUCGAGCACCCAAAACUUACCCCAAAUGCAAGGACGCUUCUCUACUCCCCGACAGGGACAACCCGCCAGACUACAGAGAUAGAGCCUUCCAGGGCGUAUCUUCGAGAAGGUUCCACAAGCUCCCCGACAAGGACAACUCGCCAGACUACAGAGCAAGGCCUCCUCUAAUCUUCAUUCUCUAUCUCCCAAGGAGGGCAACUCCUCAGACUGCAAGGUAGAGUCUUCGACAAAUUAACAGUAGGAUCUAUACACACCCAAGGGCGUCCCCCUAGGUAAAAUAUGUCCCCUUCUGCCCUUCAAAUGACGAUCUUUCUCUGUAAGCUUCAACUUGGCGCGCCCUGAAAAUAAGGCGCGCCCUAUCUUCUUGAACUGGUCUCUUCUGACUGACAUGGCUAGUUUGGGCUUGGUCCAAUAUUGAGCCCAUCAUAGUCUUCUUUUAUGGGCCAGGUCUUCAUGGUGAUUUUUGCAUAUAACAUUGAUCACGGAGAAGAAAAUAGUGGCAUCUUUACCGAAUCAGGUUCAUGUGAAUGUUUUUGAACGUUGUCCAGAAGUUUGUGAAGGCAGGUCUCAGUAUCAAUAUAGGGAAGUUGAAUCAAAUGAGCAGUGGGAAAAUACACGUAUUCAAAUCAUUCACGUGCUUGAGAGAAUGGAGAAGCGUCUUGCUGAUUUGUCAAAUCCAGUUAAGGAAAUGUCCUCAAAUAAGGUAAAUCAGUCUCUUACUACGCCUGCUAUUGUCUCCAUUGUUGAUGGUUUAGAUAAUUUUUGUGGAGUUAAGAAUAUAGUUGCUGAUGAUAGUGAGACUUUUAAACAAUCUCAAGUAUUAGAAACUGGUAAAUAUGCUCCUGAAGUGUUUGAUGUGAGCCCUCAAGCUGAUUCUGUUCUUUUUGUUGUUGAGUCGAGUGAAAAAACCGUGAAUAAUGAUUCUGUCUAUCAUUUUACCGGGUAUGACAUGAUUCCAGUUUCUAAGCUUCAGGAAAAUGAUUACGGUAAGUUGUUUGCCAAAGAAGAGGCCAAGUUUGUUCAUGAGAAGAACCAAGAUCUACAACCACACUUUCAUGGAUCAGAAAAAGUUGCAUUUAUAACUCUGGAUGCCAUAGUAAAAUGGCUAAAUGAGAGGAUACGAGGAUCUGCAAUCAAUGUUCAUUUAGGAUUGUAUAACUUUGUUGAGUCAUCAUUUGUCGAGAUGUACUCAAGGUGUGGCAAAUUUGAGUGUGCCCCAACUGUUUUGAAGACAGUGCUUGCAAUACUCGAGUUUGAUGGGUUUGACGAUUUUAAUUUCGCGACGAUCUCAGGCAAGAUAUCUAAGCAAACUAAUGCAAACCAAGAUACAGCACCUUUUCCAAGCAUAAGUGGGAGUCUAGGAUUUGGGAUCCACUUUAAAGAAAUCAUUGGAGCAUCUGAGGGAGACACCACCUCAAAGUUUGAUAGCCAACUUGGUAGUGAACCGAAUUCCUUGAGUAAGGAGAAGUCGCACACAUCUUUGACGGAUAUGCAAAUGCCUUCAAAAUCAGAAGUUGCCAAAGAUGGAGCUGCUAACCUGGGGGGACCAACUUCACCACAGAAACCAGUUUGCAGAAGCACAAAAGAAAUAGUCCAUGAAAAUUGUGAAGGAGAGAGAAGUACUCAGCAAGAACCAGAUAAAGAAACCUGUCGGAAUUUAUCUCUUCUGUCUCCUUAUGAGAAUUCUUCAAGUCAUCAGAUUCCUCAUAAUUCAACAGAGGAAGUUAGUUUUUUGGUUAGAAAGGAAAGUACACACUCUGAUAGUGAACAAAGUAUAUCUGGUGAAAAAACUGAUAUUGUGUUCAAGUCUGGAAAUUUACAAUUGGACAAACUGCUAGUAGAUAUAGCAUGCUCACAGAGCAACGAUGGCGAAACUAGCGAGUUUUCAGGUGAUAAUCCUGUCCGUAUAGACAACAAUGAUGAUGCGGAACCAGCUCAAAGCGGUACACAGUUUGAACAAAUUUCCCCAACAACAGUGUCAAAGAAAAUGCCCCAUGGAAUAGAGCCUGAUGGGGAGACUACGGAUGUGACUUCAGAGCUUGUUGCAAUACCAUCAGAUAUAAUGGACACAAUUAUUGAAGCCACAGGUGAUAAGGAACUGCCAGGUCCAAAACGGGUUACAAAUGUUGUCAGGCCAAAGUAUUUCAAGGGAUCAGAUGAAGCGAAGUUGCAACUGCAGCAAUCGUUAGUAACUCAACUAAAAGCUGCAGCCAUUGAUAGACAAAGGGUUGAGACACUCCAAUUAAGUCAUGCAGAUGAAGGUUCAACCAUGGUUGAUAAAUCAAUGACAGUAAAUGAAAUUUUACCCACCAGCAAUUCUGAUAGUUUUCAGGAAUUAGAUGAAACUAAUUAUCAACUGCAGCAGGCAUCAUUAUCCCAGGUGAAGACUGGAACUAUCAGUAGCCAAAAGAUCACCAUUUCACAACAAAGUUCUGCAAUUGAAAAGAAAUCCGACAAGAAAGCUGCACAAAUUGGGAGCAAAUUGGGUGCUCUUUCACGGCCAAGCACACUUCCUACUGAGCAAACAAAUGGUGGCUGUGGUUUAGUGGUAUUUGAGUCGAUGAUGAUACAUGAAGCAUAUGUUCUGAAUAUAAUUCCAGAGUAUUUGCCUCUCAAUAUCUCUCGUAAAAUGUUACAGCAGAACAAAAUACUUAAAGUCAUCAGAAAGAAUCUUGUGAAGAAGUGCAUUGAACUGUUCAAUGAGAUAGCUGAAAACAAGGAUGACUAUGCCAAGUUCUAUGAAGCUUUUUCAAAGAAUUUGGAGUUGGGAAUCCAAGAGGACAGUCAGAACAUUGCAAAGUUGGCAGACUUGCUAAGGUACCAUUCGACCAAGAGCGGGGAGGAGCUGACUAGUCUGAAGGAUUAUGUUACAAGGAUGAAAGAAGGUCAGAAGGAUAUAUAUUACAUAACUGGUGAGAGCAAGAAGGCAGUUGAGAAUUUUCCAUUCCUGGAGAGGCCCAAGAUGAGGGGCUAUGAGGUUCUCUUCAUGGUGGAUGCAAUUGAUGAGUAUGCUGUUGGACAGCUUAAGGAGUAUGAUGGCAAGAAGCUGGUUUCUGCGACAAAGAAGGGCUUGGAACUUGAUGCAACAAGAAAAUGGAAUACAAGCAGCAGCUAUAUGCAAGCAUUGGUGAAAGCUGAAUACACGAUUUCUUUAAGUUGCAUCCUUGAGGACAAGGAUGUGUUGAAGGAGUGGAGUAUGUCACGAAUUGGGCUAGAAAAUAUAUAGUGGGCCAACUUAUACUCUCGGACUUAGUGGUGACUGUUGCAAGCCCAAUAGUUGUAGAACAUAGACUCGUACUAUAAGUAAACAUAUUACUCUUACUUUGCUGGUUAUGAAAUGGAAUGAAUGUUUUUAUCUUUUAUUCUCUCUGCAUUUUCCUUUCCAGUACUCUUCUUUUAUGUUCAGUAGCUUUAAUUGCUUGUUCUAGUUGUUAAGAUCAUGACAAUGGACCAUGCAUUGACCAAUAAGAUGGUACCUCGUGGCACAUCAUAUCCCUCAAUUUUGCAAUCAGCUGAUGACUCAUGGGGAACUAACAAUGGUGAUGCAGGAUAUAAACGGAAAGUCUCUGAAAUAAUAUUUUCUAGAUAAGGCAAUUUAGAUAAAUCUGAUUCAUCCACCAAGUGGUCAAGUCCAAGAACACUGUCUAUUUCAUCUCUAGCUUUCCUUAAUGCAUAAGGAUUAUUGAGCAAAAGAGACAUCGCCCAUUCAAUUGUAACUACUGAUGUGUCUGUUCCGGCAAGUAUCAUAACCUGCAUCAGUAAAUCCUAUUUGAAAUCAGAUCUAACAGUUCAUAUGGUCAGGACCCGGGGACAACAGAAGAUAAGCCCUUACCACCAGGGCUAUCCAAUCGCGCUCAAUUAUCCCCUUAACUUACUUAUGCUAUUGAAUUUAAAUGUCUUUCUAGCUUAUAUCUUCUUAUGAACUUGAGAUAACAUUUACCAGUUAUGCUAAUAAGUUAUCUUGAUUACAAAGUUUUGUAUUAAUUUGGCGAGUGUUAAAUGCUAGAAUAAUUUAGAGUAACUACAACUAUUUCUCAUAUGUUGACUAAUCAAUUUUUUUUCUAAAAGCUUCAAGGAAGAUCCUGUCACUGAUUAUAUGUACAUAGGAAAUGAGCUAAGUAAGCGAUACUUACUGUCAUAAGGCCCUUGAUGAUGGUAUCAGAGUAGUAAUCAGGGUCUGAUUUCUGUAGUGACAGCAAAUGGUCCACCAUGGAAUUUUUACUCUGACCACGACGAUGCUUAUCGAUGAUAUCUUCCAAAAUCUUGUCCUUCUUUUUGCUCAGAGCCUCAACACCUUUCUCAUAACCAUCAUAGUCAAUCCACCUCAACAGAGGCACAAAAUCUGCAGCAUGUGAAACUCCUCCUUGUGAAAGCACCUUCAAUAAAAUUUCUCUUGAAUACCUUAUCUCUGCUUGAUUAUCCACAUCUUCGCAAAAGUACUUUUCUCCUCCAAUCAUCCUCGUUAUGAUAUUAAAUGACAACUCCUUCAAGUAAGAUUUUAUCUCCACUCUUGCAAACUCAUUUUGUGAGUUUUUUGACAAUCUUCGUAGAAGUUGGUUGACUUCAUCACGACGAAUAGGCAGAAACGUAUUCAAUCGAUUGGUUGAAAAUAUUUCGAGUGUAGCAAGCUUCCGGAGAUUUCUCCAGUGGUCACCAUAUGGGGACUGGACCAUAGUUGUGUAAUUGUAGCCCAUGUGCUUUCCCAUAAUUAGGCGAGGGCGGUUUGCUAGAAUUAUGUCAUUUUUCGUGAAACAUUCUUCCGCAGCAGAGGGGGAUGACACAACAACUACAAGGCGUGAUCCAAAAUGGAGUGAAAAAAUGGGGCCAAGAUUCUUAGAGAGGUCAUG